GCUGAAAUAGCUCAGUUGGCUAGAGCGUGUGGUUGUUAACCACAAGGUUGGAGGUUUGAGCCCUCCUUCUAGCA